UUAGCGGCGAAAAGUGAGAUAGAGCCUCUGGGCCAGGGAAACCGGACGGUGCUGGGAGAAGAGCAGCGGCCCUGCCUAGGGGUCCUGCCGGUCUUUUUACGGGGCUUCCCGCCUCAGUUAGGGGGCUGUUGGAUGGAAGAAUAUGGCUGAGGAGAAGGAGGGGAAACACUAAGCCACUGGAUAUAUUCUUUAGAAUCAGAGACCAAUAAGGAAGUUUCACAGGGACCUGCACUUGUAAAGAGCAGGUACUGACAUCAGCGGAUGUUUUUCCUGCAGAGGCACACAAAGGUCGCUGCCUCCAGCUUUGAAAUGACUUAGAAGUUUCAGGCUGUGACUUUGGAAAAUAAGCAAGAAUAUUUGGAAGAGCACAAGGCUUCAGAAUUUGAUAUGCUGGACCAUCAGUUAAGAGUUCAGGCUUUUGGAUUUUGGCGACAUUUCCAUGUUUGAACGGAAUGAAAGUGUCUGUUGAUCUCUGUAAAACUCCAGCCUCCCAACCCAGUGAUGUGCGUUGUGGAGCAAGAGCGGACUGCCGAGACUCUUUUGCCUGGAAAACUGGAACUGAGGCUGGAGAACACUUGACUUUUCUUCCCUUUCAGUCUACUGAAAGUUCGUUAUGAAUAUUGCCUCUGCUCAUGUCUAAUCACAUGGUAGGAAAUAAGGGUUUUGGAAGAUGGUCACUUGAUCGCCUCUAAUAAAUGCCAAUCAUUACUAAUAAACCCUCUCAGAGCACAGGGUAAUGUUCGAGUCUGAAAAGCUCAAUCUUUUUCUAGCCUGAGAUAUUCAUGGUCUUUCCUUGUAGUUGUCAUUGUUGAUCUUACAUGGCUUUGUGGUUUCUACCAUCAGGAUUAUCCUCUCCUGCAGAGCACCUAGGCAUGGUGCAUAGAUCUAGAAAGCGAUGGUUCCAUUUGGAAGGCAGAGCAGCAGUUUCUAUCCAGCAGUGCACUGUUCCGUAGUGCAGUGGAAAAGACACUAUUUCCCCUGCGAGAGUCAGAAGAUGGGAGUUCUAAUCUGGGAUCUGUCAAUUGACUCUGAGGCUUUGGGCAACUGUCUUCACCUCUCUGGAUAUCAUGCUCUUUCUCAACUAAAUCAACUCCAAAAAUCACUUCCAUAAAUUUGCCUGAUUGAUUCUGGAGGGAUUUAAAAAUAAUCAUAUGCUGACUCAUUUGGAAACUUUCUUAUUGAUUUGUUUUGCCUCUCCUUUUUCCUCCUCCUCAUACUGUCUUCUUGAGGUCAUUGCAAAAGAGGGAGUAACUUGGCAAAUGGAAGUUGAUGAAAUCAGUUAAUAAGAAAACCAACAAACAUACUGAAAUGUGCAAGUGGACCCAUUUGAAAAUGUCUACUAUCUUUAGGAGAAAGUCCACUGACUCAUUGAAAUUCCUGUGCAUAGAUAAUGAAGAAACAGGAUGGUCAAAAGGUGGAAUGCUUCUCUCAAGAUCUUAAAUGUCCAGAGAGUGAACUAGAUCGAUAGCCUAGGAGUCCAAGGAGUGGGGAACAAAUGAAAAGUCCCUUGAAAUACUGAUAGAAAAUAAAAACAAAGCCAAAAAGUG